ACGUGGAAGACUAGUGUUAUUCAUCUUUAAUAGGUUUAAAGGGUACCUAGACGGUAUGAUCUUGCCUUAAGGGGGGGGGGGGAACAGAUUUACUUGAGUUUUAUGUGAGGAGGGGAGUAUUUUUGGUGUAGAGUUGAAAUUUGUUGAUACCAUUAGGACUGGUAGAGGCGAAGGCGACCUCCUAUUUAAAA
rnacentral:rRNA from 1 species